AUGCAGCACACGAACCGCGCAACCGCGGGCGCCGCCGGAGAGUUGCACUUCCCGGGCUCUCUGGAGUCCCCCCCCCAUCGCCCUGUUGGGGCCCGAGCCGGGGGACGCCGGGCUGCGAGCUCCUCCGGGAGCUUCGUCCGCAUGAAGCGGGUGGGUCGUUCCUGGCUCCAAGCAAGCUCUGUCUGCUGCCGCGGACCGCCUGCCUGCCUGGGGUCGCAUUGCAGUGAGGUCCGCACGUAUUUGGAAUACAGCCCCCGAUGGAUUCUGUUCCGAGCAAAGCAAGGCGGGGGGGGGCAGUAUCCCCGGCCCGGGGAAAGGCCCGGAGCUUGCAGCGAGCCGCGGAGGCAGCAGGAAAGAGCCUAUCCUGGCUCGCCCUGGGCGGGAGCAAGCCGAGAAAGGUGCCUUCCUUCCAGUAGCCCCAAAGUGGAGCCGCCGUUCCCACGGGGGUCGAGCGUGCGUGGGCCCAGCAGAACCUGCUGCCUACGAGAGAUGCNCCCGGCGGGCCAAGCCGCCGGGCAAAAGGAAGCUUUCGGCCGCCUAGAUGGUCACAUGUGGAGCGGCUGCCAACAGCAGCGCGCGUCAAGGCCCCCCCUCCCCCCGCAAUCAGAUGCAUUAAACACACUGCAGGGCACGGAGAGAGCAGAGAGAGAAGCCGGCCGGUCGGUGCCAGGGGGAGGAAAGGCCAAGCCUGGCAGGAACCUCAGAGCGGCCUGGAAGCUGGGAGCCACCCGUGCGGUUCCAGCAGGCAGCCGGGAUCCCCAGGUGGAAUCGUUUCAGGCCCACUGGGCAGAGGCGAGCUUGGCGCUUCACGGCCACCGUACGCGGCACAUUCGGGGGAGCCGGACCUGGUCGGGGCAACCCAGGCCAGCCCUGAAUCGGCUGAGGGGCCAAAUGCCGGCCCUUUCUUCUUCCCGUAGCCCCGUUCCUGGCGGGANGUCGGGGCUGUCCGCGGCUAAUGGGGGCGCGGGUGUUCUGUUGGNGGUCUUCCUUGCGCAGCCACUGGGGGGAGGAAGCUGCUGGGCGAGGAGGCCACGGGCCCCAGCCAGCGCAGCAGUUCUGGGCCACACAAACCUUUCGAGAGGCUGCAGAGCAAAUCGCUCAGCGUCCUGCGAAUCUGCUUUGAACGAUUUUACUAGCGCUUUGCGUUUUUGUUAA
rnacentral:lncRNA from 1 species